GAUGUGAGGCUCGAACUCAGGAACUGCGAGAUCAUGACCUGAGCCGAAGUCGGACACUUAACCAGGCCUGACAUCAUUUUCAAGGGAUACUUAUCCGUAAAGCAGUCCCCUGAGGUCACAGGGCUAGAAGCUUCCUCACAGGUCCUCCUGCACUGCACUCCGGACCUCAUGUAUCUGUCAGUAUCCAGAACAAAAGUGGCAGGUUGCCUGAGGAACCAGAUAUUCACCUAGUUCUGGUAGAGAAUCCAGUUCUCUUUUCUCUAACACUUGACCUUGGGGGCAAUGAGAACCACUGUCGCAAUCUCCCUGGGCUGUUAGGUUUCCUCCAGGGCCCUGUGUCAUUAGCGGGACCCCAGGAUUGUGAGGACUGUUCACCUUAGGAGGGCAAGCUGGUGAGGAAGUGCCCAAACUACCAUUUUGAAACCUGGUUCACUUCUCCUAGAUCUGGGACCAAUCCCAAAAUACCAAAAUUGAAAGACACUUUGGUGAUUAAUACCCCUCCUCUUACAGAUGGGGAUAAAGGGGGAAUGGCCCGACCAAGGUUAAUAUUCACACUACGGAGAAAGACUGUUUGGGACCCACAAGCAUCUUUCUCAGACGUUUACCGCGUCUUGUUGUAACAUUCGCCGUGACUUAAGGGAACAAAGAAUACAACCUCACGCAUCAACGCCCUGUAUAAAGCUCCCCGUGCCUCUGUCUGGUUUGACUUCCCAUCCUAUGUGGUGGCCAUUUUCUCAUUUCACAGGCCAGGAAAGUGAGGGGGAUGAAUCCAUUUAGUUAGUAGGUGGCAAAACUCAACUCCAGCUUGGUUUUUAUUUAAUGGUCCUCCCAAGUCCAUCUCUACUUUUGUCCUUGGUGGGGGAGGGGCAAAACAGAAAUUAGCCAUAACUCAGGCAGCAUGGGGUGCACAGCCGGUGUUCUCAGGUGCUAGAGCUCUAAGGAGAGGCUGUGACUUAUAGUGAACCACCCCUUACCUUGGCGGGUGAACACUUCCCUCUUCCAGCCCCCAGAUCUGAGGCAGGGCCCCCACGGAUCCUAACGUAACUUGGUGCUGUCAUCUCAAUAGCUUGGUUAAAUGCCACCUCCCGGACAUAGUGUGGCAUGUAAAAGCCCAGUCCAUUAGAACCAGCGGGCUCAGUUCCAGCACUUCAGGUGACUGGAGGCAUCCAUCACUUAACCUAGCCCUGCCUCAAUUUUCAGAGCUAUACAAUGGGGCUAGCAGUAGUACCUUCCUGGGAAGGUAGGUGAAAGAGGUAAAGCAUUCAGAAAAGGCAUGUGCUCAGUAAAUGUCCAUUGUUGCCCCCAUUUGCUGUCCACACAACAGAAGCAACUCUGCUACAGAAUUCUGCAUUUUCUCUAGCGGUACGAAGAGUGUGUUCACAAUUCCUGAUGACUGGUAGACAUCCCAGGGUGAGAAGUAUCUAUAAGACACAGUCAUGUGCACUUCACACCUUGACUCUGGAGAGUGAUCUCUUCCAGGCCCUCUACUACAAUGGUAUUUUCUUUUUCUGUCACCGUCACCCCUCCAACAGCAGAAGUUUCUGGCUCACCCACCGGAGAGGCUAAAGCUUGCCUGGAAUUAUACUGCUUACAGAAUAAAGAGAAGUCAGAGCCUCUUAUGUAACUUGAAGAGUAGGAAAGAUCCAGUGAUAAAAACCAGUGCCCUGAACUUUUGCAAAGCACGAUCAAUCGCUGCGUACGAUCCUCCGGUCCUUGGCAAGAUCAUGAACUGGGAGCUGUGUGGAAAGACAACCGGAUUGGGAGCCAGGGUCCUGCCCUGGGUUUCUUCCAGGUGACCCUACCACCCGUCAGCCGUCUGGUCUUGGGGGAAUAUAAAGAUUUCUCCUGACUUGUGUGAAUUUUUCCAGGGUCCUUUCUUUUGGAAAUGCUACAAGAUGGCUGUGUUUUCAGUGGUGGAAAUUAUCGAUAGGUCUCAAAAGCAAGGAACAGAAUAUCUGCUUUCCAGUAGUGAUGUAUGACUCACCAAAGCCACAACAUUUUUUAUAAUGCCCUUAGUUUUUUUCAUAGAAACAGAACUGAGAUUCCUAAUAUUUCCUGGAAUUUUUUUAAAAAAGGAAGGAAAAAAAGAAUUCAAGGAGAUGUCCAUUUGUUAGCCCGUCACUGGCACGCAUCGGCGUUAAAGAGUAAUUGGUGGGGUGACUGGAAGGCUCCGAGUAGAAUUCUCUGAAGGGGCAUGCCUGUGUUGGCAGGGGAUGCUGGCUGUUGGCUGGGACUGCAGUUCAAUGGGGGUCAUUUGUCUCUCCAAGGUUCUGCAGGAAGGUGUGGGACUGGAAUAUUAAUGUGGCCAUUUUUGGAAAAGACAACCUGCUCCAAGAAAUUCUCACCUUUUCCAUGUCAUCUGUACCAGCUGUAGCUGCAGAGAAAAUGUGAAAAGUGAGCCAGAUUCUCUCAGCUGCCCAGCUGCACCUUCCAGGCCUUUCUCCUGUCUUGUCUCCACAUAGCUACGUGAAUGAACUGAUCUCGCACCUCCAUGGCUGUAGGAUCUUCUGCAGCGUCCCAUCACAUUCAGGAUAAUAACUUUCCAGGAGAGAAACUAAGAGCUCUGAUUGAGCUGCUCGCCCAAAGCCGGUACCGAUUUACUAGUCAUACAAGGGAGCCAUCUUGGAAGCAAAUCCUCCAGCCCUCAGUUAAUCACCAGCAACCACCAACUACCUCCAGCUAAUACUGCAUGGAGCAGAGACAAGCCUUACCCCACUGAGCCCUGCCCAAAUUAAAGAUUUAUGAGGAAAAAAAAUUACUGCUGUUUUAAACCCAUUUUAACUAAAACAUGACUUUGAUCCUAAAGCAUGAGAUCCUCUGUACCCAUCUAUCAUUGAACUAUGCUAUAUUGUGUUACAAGUUAUUUUUUAAUGUGUUUGGAUAUUAUCCUCUUGGAGACAGGUAUUUUGUACUACAUUUGUUGAGUUCUCGCACAGUGACUUUUUAGGCAGUAGAUACUCUAUAAAUAUUUCCUGGUUAAUUAAAUCCAAGACUAUGUGUUCUAUGAGAUAAAAUUGCUUCUUAUUGUGCCAGCUCUGCAAACAUGAGAGAGGGUGCAGAGAAGACAUCCUGAAACCCACCCAGACUCUGGGUAGAUAACUGACAUUUAAGAUACUAAAAUAUGUGUAUCAUAGAAAAUGCAUAUAACCACCCAUUCUUCAAUCUUCUAAAGUGCUUAUUUAAUGCUCUUUUGGAAUUUGGUAUCCAUAUCUUGGGAUUUCUUUAAAAAGUCAACCUACAUUAGAGCCUUAUCACUCAACCUAUUUUUUUUAUUAAUGAGUUACAACAGAAAUGACGUUUGCAGUUAAUGAGCUACACAUAAUCUAUCUGUGAAUAAAAGCCACCACUAAUGGGCAAAUUAAUUAGACUUCAGGUUUCUUCUCUUUGUUUUUACACUACUUUGUUUACCCUAAUACAUUUCAUCGAAAUAUCAUUAGACAUAACUUCUGGAAUGGCAGUAUGAGGAGCUCUGAAGUCUCAGUUCCUAACAAAACAACCUGAACUAGUAAAAACCAAAACACCAACAACUAUUUAAAAUCUCUAUGCAGUGCCUAAGAGAGUACAAUAAAUGAAGAAGCAUUUAUUCAACAAAAUGUAAUAAACUGUGGUAAGAACAAGUGAGAGCCUAUGUCACUUGAGUCAUGAUCUACUCCAUCCCUUACCCUUCCCCCCAACUCAGCAUGCUUGAGGUUCUGUUCCAGAGAGGGGUCCCUCUCCCCCAAGCUACCAGUCAAGUGCUAUUUCUCCCUGGGAUGGACAUAUGCCAACAUUUCUCAUCCUCUCCAGCUGCCUGUUGUGAAACUAAUUUCUAAACAAGGGUGACCAAGAGGUCAGGGGAUCCCUUCCUCCCUCUAGCCCCACUGUUAGUCCCACUGGUUCUACUCCAAGCAAAGGUAGCUGAAAAUACUAGAUCCAAUUAUCAUCACCACAGUUUGCUCAUACAGAGGAUAUUCCACACUGGGAGAGGCAAGUUAGGAAGACCAGAGGCUACUGCUCCUGCCCAGUGCCCUGCUCAUUAGAGGAAAAAUGGUGCUCCAAGAGAAGUGGGUCAUUGUCUCUGCUCCCACACCCAAAGCAGUUUAACUCUGAGAUUUUUUUGCAUAGACAGAGGCAAAAAGAAGAAAAGAUGUAGAAGCUCUUACCAGACCAACUACAUGCAUUUGGAAUACAAUGUAAGUUUAAUCCUAAGAGAUUCUCAAAGAACAAUGAUGAUUUGGGGGUAGACAAUUAAGAGGAGGCUGAUAUCUCUAUGAAAGCAACAAGGAAAAACUUUAAGCCAACUAGAUUACCAGAGAAAAUCAGGUAAAGAGAUAACUGCUAAGAUGAGCCCUUCUGGAGUCAGAAAAAACCUCCAAGACUAGCUCUGUAAAAGGUCCCAAAUUAGUUGGAUCAGACUGUGGAGCAAUGUAUGUAUAAGGACAUUAUCAAAAACCAUAGAGUAAUCAGCCAGCAGUAAGGGGAGCCUAAUUAAGCUGGACGUGAUACCAACAGACAAAACGGACUUAGCAACGAGAUCAGGAAAAUAGCCAAAGAGAACCCUGCUAAAACUGGUUAUCCAAAGGUGACUGUGCCCACGCCCAAGGCUGCAAGUUCUCAAGAAUGACAUCACAGGCCUCAUGCCACAUGGGAAAUUUCACUGAAGUUCUCCAGCCAAGUUACUAAACAAAUAAGCAAAUAACAACAACAAAUCUGAGAGAUGAGAGAUGAGAAAUCAGUAUCCAUAGUUGCUACAAUAUAUUACCACAAAUGUUCAGUUUUCAGUAACAACAAAAAAUUAUGAGACAUGCACAGAUGCAGGCCAGUGUGACCAAUACAGGGGGUAAGGGCAAACAGGCAACAAGGACCGCCUCUAAGAGGGCCCAGAUAACAGACCUAAAACAAGUUUAUAGCAGCCACUAUACUAUGCUCAAAGAACUAAUGGAAACCAUGCUUUCAAAAAUAAGUAUAAUCAUAAUGCCUCA